rnacentral:lncRNA from 8 species
GUCUUCAGUAGUUGAACUUCAUUUUAAAAACUCUAGAAGUAGGUAAGGUAAAUCAAGUAUUUAUAGGUAUACAUUCGGUGGGGUGUGAAUGCUUUAAUCUCAGUUGAAAUUAUAUGAUUUCCUAUUCUAUAUGUAAGUACCUGUUCUGAUCUAAAGAAAUGUGAGACUAAGUAAUUAGUUGCACAGUACAUGACCGUCAAAUAAUGUUAGAUAAGACAAUUCAAAUGUUGAUUUUAAUAUGCUAAUUUUAUGGCACUUCUUCAAGGUCUGUUUCAGUUGCCGCGAUAGCUAGCUAGUGAUGUCUUGCCCCAUGUAGCUUUUGGAGAGACAGAGGAAAUAUGUAACUGCCAAGUCAUAGAGGCAUUGCUGUGGGGACAUUUUAUGUGCAGAUCAAAUACUGAUGAAUAUACCAUAUUGAAAUCAUGCUCUUUUUGGACAAAUGUCAAACAGCAGCUUGAGCCAUUGUUCAUGGAACUUGCCAGUGACCUAGACAUGUUCCAGUCAGAUUACCAGGGGACUGGUGAAUAGAAAAUAAAUGGCACUGGCAUACAAACUUCCAAUAACCCAUAUCUGGGAGUGGGACAUGCCUCAUUUGCAGUAAUAAAAUAAAAUAAUUCCAUUGAGGGAUUCUCUCGAUAGGAUGCCAAAAUCUCAGAAUGUCUUGGUUUUGCUCUAACUGACCAUUGAAUUUCAAACCUGAGGCCAAGCAGAGAAUGGCUCAUUUGUCACGAUGUGUAAUAGAUUUUCUAUUUUUGUUGGUUUUACAGCAGCCCAUCAUGCGUCAUCAUGUGGCUUCUCUACACAGAGCAUGAGCCUUUCUAUAAAUCUCUCCAAGAUUCCUCCAUCCUGCCCCAACCAGAGCUGUUGUCCCUCCCUAGCCUGGAACCUUGGUGGUGGGCCGCCCAGCAGACCGACAGCCCUGCCGACGGGGCCUUCGAGAAGUCACACUGUGCACCAGUCAGUCAGUCUCAUCCAUCCGUCUGUCAGCCCACAGAGAGGCACAGAGAGGAAGGAUGUCGAAAUUGGUUUCAGGAGCUUGGAGGAAUGGAGGGAUUGGUGUCAGCACAGCAACUAUUGGCAGCAGUCCUGACCCUGGAGGUAAUCACCACGACGACAAGCUUUCAUCAGAAGAAUACAGUUAAUUUACAGUUAUUCUCAGAAUGUCAGUUGGUCCAAAGAAACAAUGCCAUGCUCAAUACCUGUGCCAAAACGCUAUCUCUUUCUCACUUUCUCUCUCUUUCUCUCUCUUCCUCUCUCUCUCAUACGUUGUUUUCCUAUGAUUCUGAAUGGAAAUAUUGUUUAACUUAUGACAUUGUUUGGUUUAGUUGUUCUUGAUUUCUUUUUAUUUGAAAAGGCUUGUUUUCUUGUACAUUUCAGAUAAAACUGAGGAUAGAAGGUAAACUAUUACAAAAGACAGUAAACGGUUCAAAGUAGACAUUAAACAGCAAACAGUUUGUGCCCUGCAAAGAAAGUUUAGUAAGUUUAUAUUUACCUUGUGUCAAUUACUCUCAAAGAUCCCCUAAAAGUAGUAGUUAUUUGGUCAUUAUUUAGUAAUGACCAUUUUAAAGUGUAAUUUUGAGGUAAAUACCAUGUAAAUAUAAGUCUAUAAAAUAAAUCAUUUUCCUCAUAAGUUUUUUCGAAAAAUGUGCCCCUCCCACACAUAAGUGAGUUUUUCCCUUUAAGGGUUGAGUCACAUAGAAUGAAAGCAUUGUGCCUUUUUUUUCGUAAAGAAAAGGUAUCUGUGCCAGCAGCUUAUUUUGGGGCUAAAUCUCAGCAUUACAGUGCUUUUAUGUUCCCAGUAUCCACCCUUUCAUUUGACUCUGACAGAAUGGUGACUUUGUGUGUUUUAAAUGAGCCCAGCUUCAGUCCACCUGUGCAUUUCCUAUUGAAGCCAAACAUUCUGCAUCUUGGAAGAUCUCCCUGCCCUCCUCUCUCUCACUCCCUCCUUCUCUCUCUCUCCUUCUCUCUCUCUCGCUCUCUCUCGCUCUCUCUCGCUCUCUCUUGCUCUCGCUCGCUCUCUCUCUCACUCUCACUUCAAUCAGUGUAGAUGAAGGGGAGGAGACGAAUUGUUAAGCCUUGAGACAAUUGAGACAUGGAUUGUGUGUGUGCCAUUCAGAGGUUGAAUAGGCAUGACAAAAGAUUUAUGUGCAGGGUUGCCAACUUUUGAAGAAAGUUUGGAGUGAGAUUUGCUAUGUGAAUUUCAUUGCCCCCUGGAACAACCCCUAAAUGGGAAAUGAACCGGGUGUAAAAUGUAAAAAAAUAAAACCACAGGUCAGGUGUAUUUAGAAUGCUUUGAAC